rnacentral:rRNA from 1 species
CGGGUUGUAAGCACUUUGUCAGGAACGAAACGGAUUGAGAUAAUACCUUGAUCUAAUGACGGUACCUGAAGAAUAAGCACCGGCUAACUACGUGC